GCUGAAAUCGACUCGGAAACACCGACUACUUUCUAAUAGAUCGAAAAUGCCGAAGAGGGGUCGUCCGCUAUCGCAAGUAACAGAGGCUGCAGAGAAGCGAGUAAGAUCUGAACUCGACGAUGCAGUUGAUGAUUUAAUUCCGGUAGCGUUGGCACAAAAGUUGAGGGAUCGGUUGGCAGCUGCUGCCCCUAGUAGCUCAGCAGGUGAUGUUCAACAGACACAAGUUAAGGGAAGAAAGACUGAUC